AUGACGUCACCCUCCUUCAACAAUGAAGACAAGGAUGCUUGGCUAUUGAAGAUAGAGUUGAAAAGAGAAGAACCGGAGGAGAUUAACAAGGAUGAAAGGAUCAAGAAGGCUAUGGAGGAUCAAGCCCUGGCGAUGGAAGAAGAAAACAUUCCUCAACCUCUACCUAACCUCUUUACCCCAACUGAGAUUGAAGCUUUCAAGAUGAUUGAGUUAGCUCGCAUACAAAACAAGUAUCUUACACAAGAUUUUUUUGUUGAAGGAUCAUAUCGUCGCACUCAAGGGCAGUAUCCGCAAGUUGGAGGAGCUUUUACGCUCGAAGUGCGAUUAUCCACCAUCAUCAUCACCACCUUCAUCACCUCCGAGGACAUAAUCACAUGGGUAUGGGCACUCCCCUUGGCAACUGCCAAGCUUGGGGGAGGUGCCCCGGUAUCGUAUCACCAUCACACUCCUAUCUUUACCGUUUUACUUAGUUCAAUCCUUUUAGUAAUAUCUUGA
rnacentral:rRNA from 1 species